AUUGAACGCUGGCGGCAGGCCUAACACAUGCAAGUCGAGCGGAUGAAGGGAGCUUGCUCCUGGAUUCAGCGGCGGACGGGUGAGUAAUGCCUAGGAAUCUGCCUGGUAGUGGGGGAUAACGUCCGGAAACGGGCGCUAAUACCGCAUACGUCCUGAGGGAGAAAGUGGGGGAUCUUCGGACCUCACGCUAUCAGAUGAGCCUAGGUCGGAUUAGCUAGUUGGUGGGGUAAAGGCCUACCAAGGCGACGAUCCGUAACUGGUCUGAGAGGAUGAUCAGUCACACUGGAACUGAGACGCGGUCCAGACUCCUACGGGAGGCAGCAGUGGGGAAUAUUGGACAAUGGGCGAAAGCCUGAUCCAGCCCUGCCGCGUGUGUGAAGAAGGUCUUCGGAUUGUAAAGCACUUUAAGUUGGGAGGAAGGGCAGUAAGUUAAUACCUUGCUGUUUUGACGUUACCAACAGAAUAAGCACCGGCUAACUUCGUG
rnacentral:rRNA from 1 species